AGUGAACGCUGGCGGUAGGCCUAACACAUGCAAGUCGAACGGCAGCACAGUAAGAGCUUGCUCUUACGGGUGGCGAGUGGCGGACGGGUGAGGAAUACAUCGGAAUCUACUUUUUCGUGGGGGUUAACGUAGGGAAACUUACGCUAAUACCGCAUACGACCUACGGGUGAAAGCAGGGGAUCUUCGGACCUUGCGCGAUUGAAUGAGCCGAUGUCGGAUUAGCUAGUUGGCGGGGUAAAGGCCCACCAAGGCGACGAUCCGUAGCUGGUCUGAGAGGAUGAUCAGCCACACUGGAACUGAGACACGGUCCAGACUCCUACGGGAGGCAGCAGUGGGGAAUAUUGGACAAUGGGCGCAAGCCUGAUCCAGCCAUACCGCGUGGGUGAAGAAGGCCUUCGGGUUGUAAAGCCCUUUUGUUGAGAAAGAAAAGCAGCAGGUUAAUACCCCGCUGUUCUGACGGUACCCAAAGAAUAAGCACCGGCUAACUUCGUG
rnacentral:rRNA from 1 species